UACGGAGGGGGCUAGCGUUGUUCGGAAUCACUGGGCGUAAAGCGCACGUAGGUGGUUUGUUAAGUCAGGUGUGAAAUCCCCGGGCUCAACCUGGGAAUGGCAUUUGAUACUGGCAAGCUGGAGUCUGGUAGAGGGGGGUGGAAUUCCAGGUGUAGCGGUGAAAUGCGUAGAGAUCUGGAGGAACACCAGCGGCGAAGGCGGCCCCCUGGACCAACACUGACGCUGAGGUGCGAAAGCGUGGGGAGCAAACAGG
rnacentral:rRNA from 1 species